ensembl:misc_RNA Metazoa_SRP Metazoan signal recognition particle RNA
GCCAGGCAUGGUUGCGUGUGCCUGUAGUCCCAGCUACUUGGGAGGCUGAGGCUGGAGGAUUGUUUGAGCCCAGGAGUUCGAGGGUGCAGUGAGUGAGCUAUGGUCACACCACAGCACUCAAGCCUGGGCAAUAGAGAGAUAACUUGUCUCAA